AUGAGCUUUGUCUUGGGGAAAGCCAAGUUACCGCCCCGUCCAGAGUUGACCAUCCCACGCCUCGAGCUUUGUAGUGCAGUUUUGGCCGUGCAGAUGGCUGAACUUAUAAUGUCUGAGGUGGAUAUCGAGUUUGACAGUGUGAACUUCUUUUCAGACAGCAGGUUCCACGUCUUUGUGAACAAUCGAGUUCUAAGAAUAAGAAGAACCAUGCACCCGCAGCAAUGGCAUUAUGUACCAAGCGAUCUGAAUCCAGCAGACCAUGCCACCAGAUCCGUACCUGCAACCUGUUUGAAAGAUACAACAUGGCUUACUGGUCCACCAUUUUUGUCCGGUCCGAACCAGACAUACUUCACCUCAGGCCUGUUUGACCUUGUCGAUCCUUCUGCAGACGUCGAAGUCCGUCCCGAGGUAGCUGCAUUCAUUACCACUAUGAAGCACAGUCAGCUGGGCUCAGAACGUUUCAAGCGUUUCUCCAAUUGGAAGAUACUUCUCCGGGCUAUCUUACGUCUAAUACACAUCGUAAAGACUUACAAAAGAGAACUGACCAAAGAUGCAGCAAAUUGUAAAGGAUGGCAUUACUGUUCUAAACCAUAUAGUGUGAGUGAAUUGAGUCAAGCCAAAAAUAUCAUAAUUCGUGCUGUGCAACAAGAAGGUUUCGCUGAGGAGUUCCGAUGCAUCGAAGAUAACAGGAAUAUCAUGAAGAACAGUCCUCUCUUUGCACUGAAUCCCCUCAUUGAUGAGAAUGGACUUAUGAGAGAUGAGGGACGCGCGUCUCAAGGGAACUUUGGAUUCAGUGAGAGCGAUCCCAUCAUUAUUCCACAAUGGCAUCACAUUGCAACCUUGAUAAUAAGACAUUAUCACGAGCAAUCUCAACAUCAUGGGAGACAUUUCACCGAAGGCGCUAUUCGUAUGGCUGGCUUUUGGAUCGUGGGAGCCAAAAGAUGCAUUUGUUCCCUUAUCUUUGCAUGUGUGAUUUGUAGAAAGUGGCUACUUUCUGGGACAGGUGGCAGAAGCAAUAUCUCUCCACAUUGCAACCUAGAAAGAAGUGGCAAUCAAAGAGGCAGGAUGUCACAGAGGGCAGUAUAG
ensembl:lncRNA